rnacentral:rRNA from 1 species
AUGGGGGCAUGUGCACGCUCUGUUUACACAUCCACUCACACCUGUGCACCCACCGUAGUUCUGUGGCCUGGGGGGCUCUGUCCCCUCUGCUGUGGUUCUAUGUCUUUACAUACACACUGUAAUAAAGUUUCAUGGAAUGCAUCAUGCGUUUAACGCAAUACAAUACAACUUUCAGCAACGGAUCUCUUGGCUCUCGCAUCGAUGAAGAACGCAGCGAAAUGCGAUAAGUAAUGUGAAUUGCAGAAUUCAGUGAAUCAUCGAAUCUUUGAACGCACCUUGCGCCCUUUGGCUAUUCCAGAGGGCAUGCCUGUUUGAGUAUCAUGAACACCUCAACUCUCAUGGUUUUUCUGUGAUGAGUUUGGACUUUGGAGGUCUUGCUGGCCUGUGGUCAGCUCCUCUCAAAUGAAUCAGCUCCCCAGUGUUUGGUGGCGUCACAGGUGUGAUAACUAUCUACGCUUGCGGCUUCCACAAGGUAACCUUCAGUGAUGGAGGUUCGCUGGAGCUCAUAAAUGUCUCUCCUCAGCGAGGACAGCCUCUUGAAUGUUUGAUCUCAAAUCAGGUAGGGCUACCCGCUGAACUUAAGCAUAUCAAUAAG